rfam:Steinernema glaseri strain NC unplaced genomic scaffold GLAS_7481, whole genome shotgun sequence.
GCCCCGUUGGCCUAGAGGAUAAGGCGUCUGACUUCUAAUCAGAAGAUCGCCGGUUCGAUCCCGGCACGGGGCU